rnacentral:rRNA from 1 species
GAAGCUGCGGCAGCGACGCUUAUGCGUUGUUGGGUAGGGGAGCGUUCUGUAAGCCUGCGAAGGUGUGCUGUGAGGCAUGCUGGAGGUAUCAGAAGUGCGAAUGCUGACAUAAGUAACGAUAAAGCGGGUGAAAAGCCCGCUCGCCGGAAGACCAAGGGUUCCUGUCCAACGUUAAUCGGGGCAGGGUGAGUCGACCCCUAAGGCGAGGCCGAAAGGCGUAGUCGAUGGGAAACAGGUUAAUAUUCCUGUACUUGGUGUUACUGCGAAGGGGGGACGGAGAAGGCUAUGUUGGCCGGGCGACGGUUGUCCCGGUUUAAGCGUGUAGGCUGGUUUUCCAGGCAAAUCCGGAAAAUCAAGGCUGAGGCGUGAUGACGAGGCACUACGGUGCUGAAGCAACAAAUGCCCUGCUUCCAGGAAAAGCCUCUAAGCAUCAGGUAACAUCAAAUCGUACCCCAAACCGACACAGGUGGUCAGGUAGAGAAUACCAAGGCGCUUGAGAGAACUCGGGUGAAGGAACUAGGCAAAAUGGUGCCGUAACUUCGGGAGAAGGCACGCUGAUAUGUAGGUGAAGUCCCUCGCGGAUGGAGCUGAAAUCAGUCGAAGAUACCAGCUGGCUGCAACUGUUUAUUAAAAACACAGCACUGUGCAAACACGAAAGUGGACGUAUACGGUGUGACGCCUGCCCGGUGCCGGAAGGUUAAUUGAUGGGGU